UAGCUCAGUGGCACAGCACCUGCCUGGCAAGUGGGAGGUCCUGAGUUUAAGUCUCAG
rnacentral:tRNA from 1 species